AUCCUAGUAGCUUAAUGGUAAAGCAGCGCGGAAGUGCACCUGCGGUCACGAUUCGGGUUCGAGUCCCGACUAGGAUA
rnacentral:tRNA from 1 species